GAGACACACCGAGAGAGGAGAGAGGAGAGGAGGAAGGAGGAAUCAAGGAGGAGAGGAGACCAGGGAGGAAAAAGAGAAGGUUUUACACAUUCAUUAAUUAUCAGAUUGAAUCUUAUCGUCCACCUCCGGGAAGAAGUAAAGAGGAGAAGUUUACAUUCUGGAUUUGAAGACAAAGCUGCAGCAGUGGAAGAAGAUCCAAAGAGGUGACGGUGACACGUAGAAACGGUGACACACAGACACAAGACCCACGUGAACCAGACUCACCGAGAGGAAGCCAGAGGAGUCCAGCAGGCUCUCGAUCAGGUGUCCGGUGUGCUGGUCGGUCCUUUCACCAACUCGGGGUUCAGCACCUUCUGCCAGCGAUGCUGACACUGGCCAUCUGUCCUCCCCUGUGACACAAGGACACCGUCAUCAGGAACAGCACGUCAUUACGGCACACUGUAGGCACCACCGCCACUGGCACCACCACCUCCACCACCACCUCCACCACCACCUCCACCAAUACCAUGGCCAGCACCUCGUCAUUACGGCACACUGUAGCCCCCAGCCACCACUGCCACCACCUCCACCAGCACCACCUCCUCCAACACCACCACCUGCGACAGCACCUUAUCAUAACAGCCCACUGUAACCUCCAACACCACCAUCACCUCCUCCACCAUAUCCAGAACCUCCACCAUCACCAUCAUCUCCAUAUCCAUCACCCUGACCACCACCUCCUCCACCACCACCUCCACCACCA